GGAGGAAUUAACUACCCGGUUGGUGGCGUUGGUGGGAUUGCCAAGUCUUUGGCAGAAGGACUUGUUGAUCACGGAAGUGAUAUACUCUACAAGGCCAAUGUAAAAAGCAUAAUACUUGAUGAUGGAAAGGCUGUCGGUGUUAGGCUAGCAGAUGGAAGAGAAUUUUUCGCC